rnacentral:rRNA from 1 species
UACGUAGGGGGCAAGCGUUGUCCGGAAUCAUUGGGCGUAAAGCGCGCGUAGGCGGCCCGAUAAGUCUGCUGUGAAAGUCCAGGGCUCAACCCUGGAAUGCCGGUGGAUACUGUCGGGCUAGAGUUCGGAAGAGGCAAGUGGAAUUCCUGGUGUAGCGGUGGAAUGCGCAGAUAUCAGGAGGAACACCAACGGCGAAGGCAGCCCGCUGGGACGGUACUGACGCUAAGACGCGAAAGCGUGGGGAGCGAACAGG